AGGAUUCCCUUAGUAACGGCGAGUGAAGAGGGAUGAGCUCAAAUUUGUAAUCUGGCGUGCCGGAAGGCCGUCCGAGUUGUAGUCUAGAGAAGCGUCUUCCGUGCCGGACCGCGUACAAGUCCCCUGGAACGGGACAUCGUAGAGGGUGAGAAUCCCGUGUCGCGACGCGGACCGCCGGUGCCCUGUGAUGCGCUCUCGAAGAGUCGAGUUGUUUGGGAAUGCAGCUCAAAGUGGGUGGUAAACUCCAUCUAAAGCUAAAUACGGGCGAAAGACCGAUAGCGAACAAGUACCGUGAGGGAAAGAUGAAAAGCACUUUGGAAAGAGAGUUAAAACAGUACGUGAAAUUGUUGAAAGGGAAACGCUUGGACUCAUGUCACGUUCACCGCGAAUUCAGCCUUCGUCUCGGCGGAGGUGCACUUUCCGGUGGACGGGUCAGCAUCGAUUUCGAAUGUCGGAUGGGGUCCCAUGGGAACGUGACACCCCUUCACGGGGGUGUGUUAUCAGCCCGGGGACUCGGCGGCGAUUGGGAUCGAGGAACGCAGCGCGCCGUAAUGGCCGGGGGACAUAAUCCCACGUAACGCGCUUAGGAUGCUGGCGCAACGGGUUCAA
rnacentral:rRNA from 1 species